rnacentral:rRNA from 1 species
CCCUUAGAUGUUCUGGGCUGCACACGUGCUACACUGGCAGGUUCAGCGAGCUUCAUGCCCUGAUCUGAAAGGAAUGGGAAAUCUUUUCAAAACCUGCCGUGCUUGGGAUAGAUGUUUGCAAUUAUUCAUCUUCAACGAGGAUUGCCUUGUAAGCGCACGUCACCAGCGUGCAUUGAAUACGACCCUGUAUUCUGUACACACCGCCCGUCGCUCCUACCGAUUGAGUGGUCCGGUGAGGCUUUGGGAUCUGAGCGGAAAGAGCGUUUCGCUGUUUCUGCUCGGAAAACUCAGUCGAACCUUAUCAUUUAGAGGAAGGAGAAGUCGUAACA